rnacentral:rRNA from 1 species
UACGUAGGGGGCAAGCGUUGUCCGGAAUCAUUGGGCGUAAAGAGCGUGUAGGCGGCCAGAAAAGUCCGCUGUGAAAACUCGAGGCUCAACUUCGAGCUGUCGGUGGAAACUUUCUGGCUAGAGUCCGGAAGAGGAGAAUGGAAUUCCUGGUGUAGCGGUGAAAUGCGCAGAUAUCAGGAGGAACACCAAUGGCGAAAGCAGCACUCUGGGACGUGACUGACGCUGAGACGCGAAAGCGUGGGGAGCAAACAGG